ACGAUAACCAGCGUAUCAUUUACAUUUAGAACGAUUUUUAAAAUUAUAUUUUUAUCUUAAUAGUUAUUAUCUAUGGUGUCAAGGGGUCUUUAAUUUUAAUUCUGCAUGUGUGAUGUUUGAGGAACGAAGCAGACGCUUAUCAGUGUGUGUGUGUGUGUGUGUGUGUGUGUGUGUGUGUGUGUGUGUUAGAGCUGUCCCAAUGUGAUCCAGGACAUGUUCAACUCGAGCGCCCCGAUGGUGUUGGGAGUGUUUCUAGGGACGGCAGGAAUCAUGAUGUUGGCGCUGGUGUGCAGUGUGGUGUUCAGCAGACACAUCUCACAGUCUCGCGCAGCUCCUACAUACGUGCUCCUGACCAAUCAGCCGUCAGUCCUGCAUCCUCAUGCUCAUGUUCCUCACGCAGUGCCGCAGAUAUAACUGUCUCUCGCUCUCUCUCUCUCUCUCUCUCUCUCUCGCUCUGUCUCUGUCUGGCAGUUGGUGGCGCUGGUGUGCAGCUCUGUUCUCUAUAAAAGUCUGAACUCGUCUGGCUACUCGACCCCAGCCUACUACUGAGAGCCAAUCAGGUCCUCAACCACACCUGUGUGUGUAUUUUUUUUCUUGGUUAUUUGAACAGUCCAUUUGAUCAUUUUGCAAACAUUGUUUUAGCGGGGUAAUGUAAUGGUACAUGCACUUUUUCAAGUUGAUUUUACUGAAAUGUGUGUUGGCAGUAAACACAGUUACUCUUGAAUGUUUUCAAACGAUCCGAAACGAGUAGCAAUAUUUUUAAAAAGUUAGACGAACAACCAAGUAAAAUGUUACAGAAAAACAUUCCAUGAACAAUGUACAGAUCAACGCUUUUAGAACAUUAUUAAAGACCAGAUAACUUUGAAUGUACCUUCUAUUAAUGUUACAGGAUGAACGUUUGUUAUAGUUCUGAGAACGUUCCCUAUUAGCUUCGCAUGAACUCAACCUAUUUACACAUUUCAUUUUUUUAUUGCAUUCCUUAUUUUCUAAACUUUUAAGUUCUGAAUUCUGCAUAAACACCGUCUGUUACAAUUCAGUCCUGAAUAUUUCAUUUUCUUGCUUUGUUGUAUACGAUGAAAACAUUAAAGAAAUUUUCACAAA